rnacentral:rRNA from 1 species
UGGGGAAUUUUGGACAAUGGGCGAAAGCCUGAUCCAGCAAUGCCGCGUGUGUGAAGAAGGCCUUCGGGUUGUAAAGCACUUUUGUCCGGAAAGAAAUCCUUGGCUCUAAUACAGUCGGGGGAUGACGGUACCGGAAGAAUAAGCACCGGCUAACUACGUGCCAGCAGCCGCGGUAAUACGUAGGGUGCAAGCGUUAAUCGGAAUUACUGGGCGUAAAGCGUGCGCAGGCGGUUUGCUAAGACCGAUGUGAAAUCCCCGGGCUCAACCUGGGAACUGCAUUGGUGACUGGCAGGCUAGAGUAUGGCAGAGGGGGGUAGAAUUCCACGUGUAGCAGUGAAAUGCGUAGAGAUGUGAGGAAUACCGAUGGCGAAGGCAGCCCCCUGGGCCAAUACUGACGCUCAUGCACGAAAGCGUGGGGAGCAAACAGGAUUAGAUACCCUGGUAGUCCACGCCCUAAAACGAUGUCAACUAGUUGUUGGGGAUUCAUUUCCUUAGUAACGUAGCUAACGCGUGAAGUUGACCGCCUGGGGAGUACGGUCGCAAAGAUUAAAACUCAAAUGAAUUGACGGGGUCAUAGCUGUUUCCU